rnacentral:rRNA from 1 species
CAGUCGCCACGGGAAUACAGAGGGUGCGAGCGUUAAUCGGAUUUACUGGGCGUAAAGCGUGCGUAGGCGGCUUUUUAAGUCGGAUGUGAAAUCCCUGAGCUUAACUUAGGAAUUGCAUUCGAUACUGGGAAGCUAGAGUAUGGGAGAGGAUGGUAGAAUUCCAGGUGUAGCGGUGAAAUGCGUAGAGAUCUGUAGGAAUACCGAUGGCGAAGGCAGCCAUCUGGCCUAAUACUGACGCUGAGGUACGAAAGCAUGGGGAGCAAACAGGAUUAGAUACCCGAGUAGUCCCUGUCUCUUAUAC